rnacentral:rRNA from 1 species
AUUGAACGCUGGCGGCAUGCCUUACACAUGCAAGUCGAACGGCAGCGGACCUUCGGGUGCCGGCGAGUGGCGAACGGGUGAGUAAUAUAUCGGAACGUACCUUUCAGUGGGGGAUAACGUAGCGAAAGUUACGCUAAUACCGCAUAUUCUGUGAGCAGGAAAGCAGGGGAUCGCAAGACCUUGCGCUGAUUGAGCGGCCGAUAUCAGAUUAGCUAGUUGGUGAGGUAAAGGCUCACCAAGGCGACGAUCUGUAGCGGGUCUGAGAGGAUGAUCCGCCACACUGGAACUGAGACACGGUCCAGACUCCUACGGGAGGCAGCAGUGGGGAAUUUUGGACAAUGGGCGCAAGCCUGAUCCAGCCAUGCCGCGUGAGUGAAGAAGGCCUUCGGUGUAAGACUCUUCGUCCGGGAAGAAGUCGCACAGGUUAAUACCUCGUGUGG